UGAAGAUGGAGUUUAGCAAGAAGUUAAGCCUCUUUCCUCAACCUUCCUCACGGUCCUGGCCCCCUAGUGGCGACCUGCGCAGGCUCAAGCAGCCCUGGAGGCCUCAUUGUGAAGACGGUUGUGUCACAAGAUGGGAGGAACCUGGAUCCCUGAGUCAGAGAAGAGGUGCCCAGGAGAGCCACCCAACCAAGGACACCUACACUGAACUUUGCAUGACCCCUAAGAAAUCCCAUGGUGGCAGUGGCAGUGGCAGCAUCUGUAGUGACGGUUGGACCUGCAGGAUUCUAAAAUGCUGAGGGAGAGGAAACUUCAUCUCUGAUCAGAGGAGCUGUGAUCAUCUGUGUGGGACAGACCCCUGUUGCUUUUUGUUUUCUCUCUGUCCUCCUGCUCGUUGAUCCUGGACAUCAGUGUAAUUGCAAAAAUUGUGCAACAAAGUCAAUAAAAAGCUCCAACUUUCUGGUUGGAGAAUUCCAGGUAACCAGAAAGUACUGAAGAGAUUGCCACAGGGAGGAGAUUGGGAAAGCAACCCCAUAAAGUUGCUUAUGAAUUCUUGGGCCCACUUCCAAGUGCAUAUGCCCAUGCCCAUGCUGACUCCAAACAGCGUACAAGUUUAAGAACUGAACUUAAACUUGUUCAGUUAAACUUGUUCUAAUAAAAACUUGGAAUUCUUAUUAGAUACUAUGGAGGACAGAAGGAAGUGGAACAACAUUCCUAAAGUGAAGAAAGAAAAAACACUGCCAAGCCAGAAUUCUAUAUCCAGCAAAAGUACUUUCAGGAAGGAAUGUGAAAUAAAGACAUUCUCAAUGAAGGAAAACUAAGAGCCAUCAGACCUGCCCAAAAAUAAUUGCUAAAGGAAGUCCUUCAGACUGAAGAAAAAUUAUACCAGAGGAAGGAAACUUGGGAUAUCAGAAAUGAA